GGAGGGUGCAAGCGUUAAUCGGAAUUACUGGGCGUAAAGCGCACGCAGGCGGUUGGAUAAGUUAGAUGUGAAAGCCCCGGGCUCAACCUGGGAAUUGCAUUUAAAACUGUCCAGCUAGAGUCUUGUAGAGGGGGGUAGAAUUCCAGGUGUAGCGGUGAAAUGCGUAGAGAUCUGGAGGAAUACCGGUGGCGAAGGCGGCCCCCUGGCCAAAGACUGACGCUCAGGUGCGAAAGCGUGGGGAGCAAACAGGAUUAGAUACCCUGGUAGUCCACGCCGUAAACGAUGUCGAUUUGGAGGCUGUGUCCUUGAGACGUGGCUUCCGGAGCUAACGCGUUAAAUCGACCGCCUGGGGAGUACGGCCGCAAG
rnacentral:rRNA from 1 species